ensembl:rRNA 5S_rRNA 5S ribosomal RNA
GCCAGCAGCCAUAUCACUCUGCAACUCACAACUGGAAGCCCACUGAAGCUCAGCAGGUGUGAGCCUGGUCAGUACCUGGAUGGGAGACCUCCUGGGAAACACUAAGGUUGCUGCUGGAA